UGUUUUGGUCUGGCUGGCCUUGUCUUCACGAGAGGCGCCAUCACGACCGGGUUCGGGGAAUUGGGUCGUGACAUCCGCUCUACGUUCAACUCGAGAGGAAAACAAAUCUUUGAAUGAGGAAAACAAAUCCUUACAUGAUCGCUUGUCUACCUUAGAAGAUGAGAUAAAAGAAAUGAGGAAAAUAAAGGAAUACUUUGCUGCUAAACAAUCACAUGUCUCGCCUUUGACAUCGCACGUUUCAACUGAAUGACCACUACUUUUGACUGCUGACCAAGUUAGUAACAAUAUACCCUGCUUUUUAAAUUUUUUGUUGAUUUAUAUAGUCAUUUCUAUCUUAUUGCUAUCUCUGUUGUCACUGAGGAUUUACCUUAUCCUAGCAAAAUAGUACUAAUUGCACUAUUCAAAUGGCUGGGUUAGUGAUUGCUGGAACCCUUGCUAGAUAGAAGUCGAUAUGCCUUCAGCAUAAAUACUGUGCCCAUUUGAAGUAAAGCCUAGAACUUUUUUUCUCGAACAGUAAAAGAGCAUUUUUAUUGACACCAGCACUAAGUACUACUGAAAUAUCCAGUGUUGGAGCAGCUGUAACAUGCGUUUGUAAUUCCCCUUCCUUGUGAUCAUCAGAAGUACAUAAGUCCUUUGUGAUAUGUAGUCGAGCAGCUACAUUUUUUGAAUUUUGCUGUUGUUUUACAUUACUUUUAUAUCACGCGUACUCCCAAGUUCACCUUGAACCUUUCAAUGGUUUGACAUUGUGGCAGAAAUAGCCUCAGAUUACACUCAUUUGCUUGCACACAUGACUGAUAUGAAGAUACUAUCUAUUCAAUUUGUUAUAAUAAAGCAUACAGAACAUAUUUUGUAUGUAUGUGUUCUAGCAAACAUAUAUAAUCUAUGCCUUUAGUCCUACUUACUCUCAAGCAAGGUGGGUGCUAAUCUGCUGAUAUGUAUUAGCAUUUGUGAGCUCUCACAAAUAUUAGUUCAUUAGUGUACAAAAGACCAGCAUUUGGUACUACUAGCUAGUAAAACUUCUACAACAUGAAAAACAUGUUUGUGAUAUACGCUCACUCACAAUUACUCCUGGAAAUUUGUAAUACUUCACGAUCAUCUCCCUUGUCAUGAAAUCCAGUAGCACCUUUAAAAUUUGCACCUUCAAUAGCAUAAUCAGUAGCACCAUUACUAACUAAUUUUCUAUAUUCCUCUAGCCUUGUUGAUAUUGCUGGAUACACCUGAUGAAUUUAGAUUGCUUUUGGGGUUUUGAAGAUUGAAACUACAAGUCAAGAUGCAAGUUUGGAAAAUACACAAGCUCAUUAUUAUUUUGCUAUGUAAAACUUGAUAUCAUAUAGUCUAGCUCAGGAUGUUAGCUAAGUUUUUUUGUUAAGGUGUCGAGAAAAUACUGAAACUAACAUCAUGGGAUGUUAACAUUGCAAUUAAUAACUUUAUUACCUUUUUAUAUCUA